ACGCACGCUGGCGGCGUGCCUAAUACAUGCAAGUAGAACGCUGAAGGAGGAGCUUGCUUCUCUGGAUGAGUUGCGAACGGGUGAGUAACGCGUAGGUAACCUGCCUGGUAGCGGGGGAUAACUAUUGGAAACGAUAGCUAAUACCGCAUAAGAGUAGAUGUUGCAUGACAUUUGCUUAAAAGGUGCAAUUGCAUCACUACCAGAUGGACCUGCGUUGUAUUAGCUAUUUGGUGGGGUAACGGCUCACCAAGGCGACGAUACAUAGCCGACCUGAGAGGGUGAUCGGCCACACUGGGACUGAGACACGGCCCAGACUCCUACGGGAGGCAGCAGUAGGGAAUCUUCGGCAAUGGACGGAAGUCUGACCGAGCAACGCCGCGUGAGUGAAGAAGGUUUUCGGAUCGUAAAGCUCUGUUGUAAGAGAAGAACGAGUGUGAGAGUGGAAAGUUCACACUGUGACGGUAUCUUACCAGAAAGGGACGGCUAACUACGUG
rnacentral:rRNA from 1 species